GCUGGGGUUCCCGAGAUGGUCAAAGGGGUAAGACUUAAGUUCUUAUGCGCAAGCUUCGUGGGUUCGAACCCCACCACCAGCA
rfam:Trypanosoma theileri isolate Edinburgh TM35_Tth_33_V1, whole genome shotgun sequence.